AAGAACAAGAGUCCGCACCUUCUCCCCAAUCUCAGGGGAGAUGUCAUUGCCAAACUGUUGCAGAGUGGUAAGAAAGCGUUUCAACUUGCUGAGUUGUCGAGCACCACAAGUGGCUGGCAAUUGCUGAUUUGUGAGUGCAGAUGAUGUGGAGGAGGCAGGACCAUUGCUGAAUCUCUGUGGCGGUGAUGGGGCACCAUUCAGG
rnacentral:lncRNA from 1 species